ensembl:lncRNA
GGGUGGUAGAGGGCUGACAGCAAAGGUGUCUGUCUGAACUGAUUAAUAUCUGUGGGUUAGGGUGGUAGAGGGCUGACAGCAGAGGUGUCUGUCUGAACUGAUAAAUAUCUCUGGGUUAGGGUGGUAGAGGGCUGACAGCAAAGGUGUCUGUCUGAACUGAUUAAUAUCUGUGGGUUAGGGUGAUAGAGGGCUGACAACAGAGGUGUCUGUCUGGAUUUUUAACAGUCCUUUACCGGCCUGGACUCUUUUAGGCCCGAGGUACAGGACAUUUCUGGAGGAACCAGAACUCAUUGUGUUAUAUUGUUAUGUGUGUGUGAUCAUUUGUUGGUAAUACAACCCACGCAAAAUAAUAUUGUUUUUGAAGUUCUUUCCAAUGUUUUAAGGGUUUAUGAAAAGUUUAUUUCCAUCCUGACUUUUACAUAUAAGUCCUUUUGUAUUGGUGUAGACUUGACGGACCAGAUGGGACUCAUUCCCUCCCAAACCAAAAGGAGAAACCAAUGUUUUCUCUGGUAGGCACAACCUACCUGGCACCCCUAUAAACAAUAACCUCAAGUCAAAACCCUUACAGUGCAGUAAUAUCUAACAAUUUCACAACAUAUACACACAAAUCUAAGUAAAGGAUUGGAAUAUAGAAAUAUAUGGAUGAGUAAUGUCAGAGCGGCAUAGACUAAGAGUGUGUAGAUGAGUAAUGCAAGAUAUGUAAACAUUAUUAAAGUGACUAGUGAUCCAUUUAUUAAAUUGCCCAAUGAUUUCGAGUCUGUGUAGGCAGCAGCCUCUCCGUGCUAGUGAUGGCUGUUCAACAGUCUGAUGGCCUUGAGAUAGGUGUUUUUCAGUCUCUCGGUCCCUGCUUUGAUGCACCUGUACUGACCUCGCCUUCUGGUUGAUAGCGGGGUGAACAGGCAGUGGCUCGGGUGGUUGUUGUCCUUGAUAUUUUUGUCCUUCCUGUGACAUCUGGUGGUGUAGGUGUCCUGGAGGGCAGGUAGUUUGUCCCGGUGAUGCGUUGUGCAGACCUCACUACACUCUGGAGAGCCCUACGGUUGUGGGAGGUGCAGUUUCUGUACCAAGCGGUGAUACAGCCCGACAGGAUGCUCUCAAUUGUGUAUCUGUAAAAGUUUCUGAGGGUUUUAGGUGCUAAGCUGUUGCACCUUCACCACACUGUGUGGGUGGAACAUUUCAUUUUGUCAGUGAUGUGAUGCCUAGGAACUUGAAGCUUUCCACCUUCUCCACUGCGGUCCUGU